rnacentral:rRNA from 1 species
GACGAACGCUGGCGGCGUGCUUAACGCAUGCAAGUCGAACGGAAAGACCCUGCUUUUGUGGGGUGCUCGAGUGGCGAACGGGUGAGUAACACGUGAGUAACCUGCCCUUGACUUUGGGAUAACUUCAGGAAACUGGGGCUAAUACCGGAUAGGAGCUCCUGCUGCAUGGUGGGGGUUGGAAAGUUUCGGCGGUUGGGGAUGGACUCGCGGCUUAUCAGCUUGUUGGUGGGGUAGUGGCUUACCAAGGCUUUGACGGGUAGCCGGCCUGAGAGGGUGACCGGCCACAUUGGGACUGAGAUACGGCCCAGACUCCUACGGGAGGCAGCAGUGGGGAAUAUUGCACAAUGGGCGGAAGCCUGAUGCAGCAACGCCGCGUGCGGGAUGACGGCCUUCGGGUUGUAAACCGCUUUCGCCUGUGACGAAGCGUGAGUGACGGUAAUGGGUAAAGAAGCACCGGCUAACUACGU